rnacentral:rRNA from 1 species
UACGAAGGGGGCUAGCGUUGUUCGGAUUUACUGGGCGUAAAGCGCACGUAGGCGGAUCGUUAAGUCGGGGGUGAGAUCCUGGAGCUCAACUCCAGAACUGCCUUCGAUACUGGCGAUCUCGAGUCCGGAAGAGGUGAGUGGAACUCCUAGUGUAGAGGUGGAAUUCGUAGAUAUUAGGAAGAACACCAGUGGCGAAGGCGGCUCACUGGUCCGGUACUGACGCUGAGGUGCGAAAGCGUGGGGAGCAAACAGG